rnacentral:rRNA from 1 species
UCCAGACUCCUACGGGAGGCAGCAGUGGGGAAUAUUGCACAAUGGGGGGAACCCUGAUGCAGCGACGCCGCGUGAGUGAAGAAGUAUUUCGGUAUGUAAAGCUCUAUCAGCAGGGAAGAAAAACCGACCAUAGGGUCGCUAGACGGUACCUGAUUAAGAAGCCCCGGCUAACUACGUGCCAGCAGCCGCGGUAAUACGUAGGGGGCAAGCGUUAUCCGGAUUUACUGGGUGUAAAGGGAGCGCAGGCGGCCUUGCAAGUCUGAUGUGAAAGGCCGGGGCCCAACCCCGGGACUGCAUUGGAAACUGCGAGGCUGGAGUGUCGGAGAGGCAGGCGGAAUUCCUAGUGUAGCGGUGAAAUGCGUAGAUAUCAGGAGGAACACCGGUGGCGAAGGCGGCCUGCUGGACUGCGACUGACGUUGAGGCCCGAAAGCGUGGGGAGCAAACAGGAUUAGAUACCCUUGUA